rnacentral:rRNA from 1 species
CAGUCGAACGGACUCAUAUUGAAACCUAGUGAUUUAUGAGUUAGUGGCGGACGGGUGAGUAACGCGUGGAUAACCUGCCGUAUACCGGGGGAUAACACUUAGAAAUAGGUGCUAAUACCGCAUAAGCGCACGGCUCCGCAUGGGGCAGUGUGAAAAACUCCGGUGGUAUACGAUGGAUCCGCGUCUGAUUAGCUAGUUGGCGGGGUAACGGCCCACCAAGGCAGCGAUCAGUAGCCGGCCUGAGAGGGUGGACGGCCACAUUGGGACUGAGACACGGCCCAAACUCCUAUGGGAGGCAGCAGUGGGGAAUAUUGCACAAUGGGGGAAACCCUGAUGCAGCGACGCCGCGUGAGUGAAGAAGUAUCUCGGUACGUAAAGCUCUAUCAGCAGGGAAGAAAAUGACGGUACCUGACUAAGAAGCCCCGGCUAACUACGUGCCAGCAGCCGCGGUAAUACGUAGGGGGCAAGCGUUAUCCGGAUUUACUGGGUGUAAAGGGAGCGUAGACGGCAGCACAAGUCUGGAGUGAAAUCCCGGGGCUUAACCCCGGAACUGCUUUGGAAACUGUGCGGCUGGAGUGCAGGAGGGGUAAGCGGAAUUCCUAGUGUAGCGGUGAAAUGCGUAGAUAUUAGGAGGAACACCGGUGGCGAAGGCGGCUUACUGGACUGUAACUGACGUUGAGGCUCGAAAGCGUGGGGAGCAAACAGGAUUAGAUACCCUGGUAGUCCACGCCGUAAACGAUGAUUACUAGGUGUCGGGGGAUCAAGGUCCUCCGGUGCCGGCGCANACGCAUUAAGUAAUCCACCUGGGNAGUACGUUCGCAAGAAUGAAACUCAAAGGAAUUGACGGGGACCCGC